GCUGGGAUAGCUCAGUUGGUAGGGCGUAAGACUCUUAAUCUCAGGGAUGUGGGUUCGAGACCCAUGUUGGGUA